rnacentral:rRNA from 1 species
UUGUCCGGAAUUAUUGGGCGUAAAGAGCUCGUAGGCGGUUUGUCGCGUCUGCUGUGAAAGCCCGGGGCUCAACCCCGGGUCUGCAGUGGGUACGGGCAGACUAGAGUGCAGUAGGGGAGACUGGAAUUCCUGGUGUAGCGGUGAAAUGCGCAGAUAUCAGGAGGAACACCGAUGGCGAAGGCAGGUCUCUGGGCUGUAACUGACGCUGAGGAGCGAAAGCAUGGGGAGCGAACAGGAUUAGAUACCCUGGUAGUCCAUGCCGUAAACGUUGGGCACUAGGUGUGGGGGACAUUCCACGUUUUCCGCGCCGUAGCUAACGCAUUAAGUGCCCCGCCUGGGGAGUACGGCCGCAAGGCUAAAACUCAAAGGAAUUGACGGGGGCCCGCACAAGCGGCGGAGCAUGCGGAUUAAUUCGAUGCAACGCGAAGAACCUUACCAAGGCUUGACAUGGACCGGACCGCCGCAGAAAUGCGGUUUCCCUUCGGGGCCGGUUUACAGGUGGUGCAUGGUUGUCGUCAGCUCGUGUCGUGAGAUGUUGGGUUAAGUCCCGCAACGAGCGCAACCCUCGUUCUAUGUUGCCAGCGCGUUAUGGCGGGGACUCAUAGGAGACUGCCGGGGUCAACUCGGAGGAAGGUGGGGACGACGUCAAAUCAUCAUGCCCCUUAUGUCUUGGGCUUCACGCAUGCUACAAUGGCCGGUACAAAGGGUUGCGAUACUGUGAGGUGGAGCUAAUCCCAAAAAGCCGGUCUCAGUUCGGAUUGAGGUCUGCAACUCGACCUCAUGAAGUCGGAGU